rnacentral:rRNA from 1 species
CCUACGGGCGGCAGCAGUGGGGAAUAUUGGACAAUGGGCGAAAGCCUGAUCCAGCCAUGCCGCGUGUGUGAAGAAGGCCUUCGGGUUGUAAAGCACUUUCAGUGGGGAAGAAAGCCUUGGGGCUAAUACCCUCGAGGAAGGACAUCACCCACAGAAGAAGCACCGGCUAACUCCGUGCCAGCAGCCGCGGUAAUACGGAGGGUGCGAGCAUUAAUCGGAAUUACUGGGCGUAAAGCGCGCGUAGGCGGUCUGAUAAGCCGGUUGUGAAAGCCCCGGGCUCAACCUGGGAACGGCAUCCGGAACUGUCAGGCUAGAGUGCAGGAGAGGAAGGUAGAAUUCCCGGUGUAGCGGUGAAAUGCGUAGAGAUCGGGAGGAAUACCAGUGGCGAAGGCGGCCUUCUGGACUGACACUGACGCUGAGGUGCGAAAGCGUGGGUAGCAAACAGGAUUAGAUACCCGAGUAGUC